AGACACAUACAUAAUAAUAAUGAAUAUACUCGCAAUAGGAAUUAUAACUUUCGGUAUGUUCUUCCGAAUAUCUUCAGAUGUUACAAGAGUGAAAUAAUGGAACUGUAUUCCGAGGAAAUGUGUAGAAGUACAUUCAAUAUUUGCACACUUACUUGAAAAAAGUUGAGGCUCACAGUAAUCACCGAAGUCACUGUUAAACAUAAGUACAUGGGAUCAAACAUGGAUAUUAAAUGCUCGGAUAAUCUUUAAACACAAAUAUAGUGCUAUAUAUAAUACACAUGUAUAUUGUCAGCUGAAUAUUAAUGUGUCACAUGAAUAUUAUGAGUUAUUGGAUAUUAUUUAUGAGUGUUUUUGUAUGACAUUUAGAUAAAAUGGUGAAACUCUUUUUUUCUCUAGUUUGAUAAUAGAAUUUAAUGAUCGUUUCAUGUAACAACUAUAUUGAUGACUAUUUUUAUGAUUUAGAUAUUUAUUUUUGUAAUACAUUGGUAGAAAAAUAUCGAAGGUCCUCUCUUUUGAUUAAUGUCCUUUGAGAUGUUUAUUCCUAUCGCAUUUUCGAUGCGAUAACUAUAACAAAUAUGUAUAAUGUUAAAGAAUAAUUUCUUAUUUUUCAUUGUCUGACAAGAAAUAUAUUUUUUUCGAAUAUGCAAUCAUGAAUGUUCCCAUCGCUAUCCAUGCUAUUACUCCAAGAAUUAUAGCUGUAUCUAUGUGCAGCAGAAUUAAGUGGAAAAA